GUUGAUAUGAGGAUCCUUUCCCCAGAUGAUCGACUGUGAUUAAACUGUGCGCAAUUUUGAUGCCUUAUCUUCUGUGGAGGUUCCAAUCCAGAAAUCUCAUCCAU
rnacentral:snoRNA from 2 species